rnacentral:rRNA from 1 species
GACGAACGCUGGCGGCGUGCUUAACACAUGCAAGUCGAACGGAAAGGCCCUGCUUUUGUGGGGUGCUCGAGUGGCGAGCGGGUGAGUAACACGUGAGUAACCUGCCCUUGACUUUGGGAUAACUUCAGGAAACUGGGGCUCAUACCGGAUAGGAGCUCCUGCUGCAUGGUGGGGGUUGGAAAGUUUCGGCGGUUGGGGAUGGACUCGCGGCUUAUCAGCUUGUUGGUGGGGUAGUGGCUUACCAAGGCUUUGACGGGUAGCCGGCCUGAGAGGGUGACCGGCCACAUUGGGACUGAGAUACGGCCCAGACUCCUACGGGAGGCAGCAGGGGGGAAUAUUGCACAAUGGGCGGAAGCCUGAUGCAGCAACGCCGCGUGCGGGAUGACGGCCUUCGGGUUGUAAACCGCUUUCGCCUGUGACGAAGCGUGAGUGACGGUAAUGGGUAAAGAAGCACCGGCUAACUACGUG